rnacentral:lncRNA from 1 species
AACAGCCAUCCUCAUUGCCACCUUGGAAACCGCUUGUGAGAGGCAGAGUGGAGGCCACCAUUUAGUGCCAAUAAACAGAAGGCCUGGUUUCUUCAAAAGAAACACAAGAAAUUGUUUCCUGGUUUUGCCACAGAGAUUGGGUCACAGAGUGCCACCUAAAUGGUAUUACCAUAUUUGUGUUGUCGCCUCUUGGUUUGAAAUUUAUUCCUGGUAUGACUUGUGUCUCCCCUUGUUCCAUCUCUGACACCCAAGCCCAUGGGAUGACAACCCAGGCUGAGAUGUCCCAUGUGUCACAAAGGAGUCCUUCAGUAUUUCCAGGAAUAGUUGGAACCAGCACUCCAUCCCCUACCUGGACCUGGCACCCUCUCUACUCUUGUCAAUUCUACACUAAUCACAGGAAGAAGGUGGAAUUAGUCCAAGCUGGGUUUUCAGAAAUAACUUGUAGACAUGCAACAGAUGUUUAUAACCCUCAGAAGCGGAAGGAAACUUGGAAACCCUCUCUUUCGGUGACUUUUUUUCUAAUGAUUGUCUCUGCCAUGAAAUUCUAACUUCAAAUGAAAUCUUUGGCAGGAACCCAGGGCUGUUCUGUCAAGGUUCAGCUGCAGGACCAGAGCCCCUUCCACCUAACCCCCACUCCUAUCCUGAUGCUUCCUGAGGCACAUCUGCUGUGGUUUCUCACCAGAGAACAGUCUGCAAAAUCACUGCACCUUGUCCAACUCCAUUUUCCAACUGAGAAGACUUGGCCCAGAGAAGUGCACAGACUUGAGGGAAGUAACACAGCAAUCGGACAGACAGACAUCCCCAGAUAUACCUGCUACGGUCCUGGGAGAAAAUAGAGACCCAUCCCCAAAUACCAUCAUCCUCAUCAUUCUCUGUAGCCCAAUCAAAUGAUGCUCCAGGCCUGAGAUUUUAUCCAAUGAACACUCUGUACAUCUUUAAAAGAGAUAUGUACUUGUCUUAUUCCUCCUUUCCUUUCUUUAAAAAAAAACACAGGCCCCAGAUCCAGUCAUUCUAAAUAGGAAGGAAAAACAUAACCCACUGAGGCAAUGGAUGCUGUUUCUCUCCCUGCUCUGUGACUUUAGUUUGCCUUUAAAGCCCAUUUUCACCAUUUAUUGAUUUUAGUUUUCUACUUGUCUAUGAAUGACAACUUGAAUUAAGACAACGCAGGCUGAAAAGCCGCUAGGCAGUGCUAAAUGGACAAGCUACACUUCGUGGCAGGAUGUCUCAUGACCGUGCCACCUUCUGCCUAGCCCCAUUCUCUGGAGGAGCUGUGGGCAGACCGACCCCAGCCUGGCCGCCUGGCAUGGGGACUGGUUGCGUCAGAUCGGAGCUCUGAGAUAAGGGUGGGCCAGGGCAUGAUCAUCACCACUGCCAGCCUCGAAGCCUCUUUGCUGACCUGGAGGUGAUCUGUGUAUCAAAGGGGGCUGUGUAUUCAACAGCACUUCCAGAAGAGGCCAAAGAUCUGUCUCUACUUCAGCCUCCACUGGGCAGAAAACUAAGCCUAUUUGCUCUAGGCCCUUCAGACUUGCACUUGGAGAAAGAAAACUCACUAAGUCAGCCCUUAUGUAACUCCACUCUCCUCUCUUCCAAACCUCCUUGCUUUGGACAAAUAUUUGACAGAAAAUGCCCUUUUGCAACGCCUUAAAAGUUACAAAAAUGGUGCACCCU